GACGAACGCUGGCGGCGUGCUUAACACAUGCAAGUCGAACGGAAAGGCCCUGCUUGCAGGGUACUCGAGUGGCGAACGGGUGAGUAACACGUGGGUGAUCUGCCCUGCACUUCGGGAUAAGCCUGGGAAACUGGGUCUAAUACCGGAUAGGAGCCAUUUUUAGUGUGAUGGUUGGAAAGUUUUUUCGGUGUAGGAUGAGCUCGCGGCCUAUCAGCUUGUUGGUGGGGUAAUGGCCUACCAAGGCGGCGACGGGUAGCCGGCCUGAGAGGGUGGACGGCCACAGUGGGACUGAGAUCCGGCCCAGACUCCUACGGGAGGCAGCAGGGGGGAAUAUUGCACAAUGGGCGCAAGCCUGAUGCAGGGACGCCGCGUGGGGGAUGACGGCCUUCGGGUUUUAAACUCCUUUCGCUGGGGACGAAGCUUUUGGGGCCGGGACCUAGAUAAGAAGCCCCGGCUAACUCCGU
rnacentral:rRNA from 1 species